ACGGGUGAGUAACGCGUGGGAACGUACCUUUUGGUUCGGAACAACUGAGGGAAACUUCAGCUAAUACCGGAUAAGCCCUUACGGGGAAAGAUUUAUCGCCGAAAGAUCGGCCCGCGUCUGAUUAGCUAGUUGGUGAGGUAAUGGCUCACCAAGGCGACGAUCAGUAGCUGGUCUGAGAGGAUGAUCAGCCACAUUGGGACUGAGACACGGCCCAAACUCCUACGGGAGGCAGCAGUGGGGAAUAUCGGACAAUGGGCGAAAGCCUGAUCCAGCCAUGCCGCGUGAGUGAUGAAGGCCCUAGGGUUGUAAAGCUCUUUUGUGCGGGAAGAUAAUGACGGUACCGCAAGAAUAAGCCCCGGCUAACUUCGUGCCAGCAGCCGCGGUAAUACGAAGGGGGCUAGCGUUGCUCGGAAUCACUGGGCGUAAGGGGUGCGUAGGCGGGUUCUUAAGUCAGAGGUGAAAUCCUGGAGCUCAACUCCAGAACUGCCUUUGAUACUGAGAGUCUUGAGUAUGACAGAGGUGAGUGGAACUGCGAGUGUAGAGGUGAAAUUCGUAGA
rnacentral:rRNA from 1 species